CUGAAGAUGCUAGCUACUCGUGCUAGAGAAACGUCAGAAUAUAAUAAUUCAAACAAACGUUUUUACGCUAAUAAUUCUCUAUUUGAUAAAUAUUAAAACUCAGUAGGGUUUCUUUACAGAUGUGAAGUGAUAGUUUAAUAAUUGGUAUAGUAUAAUAACAAGCAAUUUUUGUUAUGUGUAGAGCACAAGCGUGGCGAGGGACGCAUAUUUUUUGCAGUGGUACAAAUUAUCAAUUUAUAAUCAGAAACAAAUUAAAAUGAUAAUUAUGAGAGGUCAACAUCCGUUGCAGCUUUCUGCUGCCAGUUUGGGGGACAUGUCGUUUCCCACAUUUUUAGCGGUGCUCAAAACGGCUUAUUCAUAUUUUACACUUUUAUUGAAAAUUAAAGGCUAGACUAAUUUCAAACUAUGUUCUAGUAUAUAUUAUAGUUAAUUGUUAUUUUGCAUACAGUUAAG